AUUGAACGCCGGCGGCAUGCUUUACACAUGCAAGUCGAACGGUAACAGGCCGCAAGGUGCUGACGAGUGGCGAACGGGUGAGUAAUGCAUCGGAACGUGCCCAGUCGUGGGGGAUAACUACUCGCAAGAGUAGCUAAUACCGCAUACGAUCUAUGGAUGAAAGCGGGGGACCGUAAGGCCUCGCGCGAUUGGAGCGGCCGAUGUCAGAUUAGGUAGUUGGUGGGGUAAAGGCUCACCAAGCCAACGAUCUGUAGCUGGUCUGAGAGGACGACCGGCCACACUGGGACUGAGACACGGCCCAGACUCCUACGGGAGGCAGCAGUGGGGAAUUUUGGACAAUGGGCGCAAGCCUGAUCCAGCAAUGCCGCGUGCAGGAAGAAGGCCUUCGGGUUGUAAACUGCUUUUGUACGGAAAGAAACGGCUCUGGUUAAUACCCGGGGGUAAUGACGGUACCGAAAGAAUAAGCACCGGCUAACUACGUG
rnacentral:rRNA from 1 species